UCCAGACUCCUACGGGAGGCAGCAGUGGGGAAUAUUGCACAAUGGGGGAAACCCUGAUGCAGCAACGCCGCGUGAGUGAAGAAGUAUUUCGGUAUGUAAAGCUCUAUCAGCAGGGAAGAAAAUGACAGUACCUGACUAAGAAGCCCGGGCUAACUACGUGCCAGCAGCCGCGGUAAUACGUAGGGGGCAAGCGUUAUCCGGAUUUACUGGGUGUAAAGGGAGCGUAGACGGCUGCGCAAGUCAGAAGUGAAAGCCCGGGGCUCAACCGCGGAACUGCAUUUGAAACUGUUUUUCUUGAGUAUCGGAGAGGUAAUCGGAAUUCCUAGUGUAGCGGUGAAAUGCGUAGAUAUUAGGAAGAACACCAGUGGCGAAGGCGGAUUACUGGACGACAACUGACGGUGAGGCGCGAAAGCGUGGGGAGCAAACAGGAUUAGAUUCCCGAGUA
rnacentral:rRNA from 1 species